rnacentral:piRNA from 1 species
UGAGCAGAGUCUUUUGCAGUAGGUAC